UCCAUAGACAGCUCAGCUGGUAGAGCAUGAGACUCUUAUUCUCAGGGUCAUGGGUUAGAGCCCCAUGCACUGCAGGAG